rnacentral:rRNA from 1 species
UCGGAGUUUAGUGGCGGACGGGUGAGUAACACGUAGGUAACCUACCUUUUGGUUGUGGUAUAACUCAGGGAAACUUGAGCUAAUCCCCCUAUUGAUCUUCGGAUUGAAAGUCCUUCGGGGCGCCAAGAGAUGGGCCUGCGGCCUAUUAGCUUGUUGGUAAGGUAAUGGCUUACCAAGGCUACGAUAGGUAGCUGGUCUGAGAGGAUGAUCAGCCACACUGGAACUGAGACACGGUCCAGACUCC